AUGCCUUGCAGGAAGGUGUAGCACCUGUGAGUAGCCAGCCUGGAGCUACCUGGAGGACCGGAUUUGGGCGUGAAUGAAUGUUGCUCAGGAGGAGUUCCUCAGGACUUCUUUUUCUUGAUAAGUAAUUGUAACUCAGCCACCAGCAGAAUCUAGCUGACACCCAGUUGAUGGUUGACCAGAAAUCCCAUACCUUUCUGCCGGCCGCCAUGGUACCCUGGAGCUGAAAAUGGGUGUUGAGAACACAGUCUCUCAGGAGGCUCUGAGAAGGGCUUGAGUGAAAUGGGUUUGCUGUGAUGUGACAGAUGGGCUCUGAGCGGCUGAGUCAAGACUGGGAAGCUCAGGCCUACCUGAUACUGGUACAUCUGGAUCUGCCCUUGAGGUCAGGCUUAGUGAUGGCCUGGUCGUGAUAGGCCUGCUUGGAAUGGGUUUAAAUAUUGGCUCUGGGGUGCCUGGGUGGCUCAG